rnacentral:rRNA from 1 species
GUGCCAGCAGCCGCGGUAAUACGUAGGGGGCUAGCGUUGUCCGGAAUCAUUGGGCGUAAAGAGCGUGUAGGCGGCCCGGUAAGUCCGCUGUAAAAGUCAAAGGCUCAACCUUUGAAUGUCAGUGGAUACUGCCGGGCUAGAGUCCGGAAGAGGCGAGUGGAACUCCUGGUGUAGCGGUGGAAUGCGCAGAUAUCAGGAAGAACACCAACGGCGAAGGCAGCUCGCUGGGACGGUACUGACGCUGAGACGCGAAAGCGUGGGGAGCGAACAGGAUUAGAUACCCUUGUAGUCC